rnacentral:rRNA from 1 species
GACGAACGCUGGCGGCGUGCUUAACACAUGCAAGUCGAACGGUGAAGCGCCUUCCUUUUUGGUGGGUGUGGAUGAGUGGCGAACGGGUGAGUAACACGUGAGUAACCUGCCCCCUUUUUCUGGAUAACCGCAUGAAAGUGUGGCUAAUACGGGAUAUUCUGGGUCUGUCGCACGAUGGGUCUGGGAAAGAUAUUGCUUCGGUGGGGGAUGGGCUCGCGGCCUAUCAGCUUGUUGGUGGGGUGAUGGCCUACCAAGGCGGUGACGGGUAGCCGGCCUGAGAGGGUGGCGCGUCGCACUGGGAAUACGAUACGGCGCAGACUCCUAACGGGAGCAGCAGGGGGGAAUAUUGCGCAAUGGGGAACGGCCUGAUGCAGCGACGCCGCGUGAGGGAUAGAGACCUUCGGGUUGUGAACCUCUUUCAGGAGUGAAACAGGCCUGCCUCGUGUGUGGGUGGGUUGACGGUAGCUGGAUAAGAAGCGCCGGCUAACUACGUG